rnacentral:rRNA from 1 species
UACGUAGGCAGCGAGCGUUGUUCGGAGUUACUGGGCGUAAAGGGUGUGUAGGCGGUUUUCUAAGUUUGGUGUGAAAUCUCCCGGCUUAACCGGGAGGGUGCGCCGAAAACUGGGAGACUAGAGUGCGGGAUGGGAGAGUAGAAUUCCUGGUGUAGCGGUGAAAUGCGUAGAUAUCAGGAGGAACACCGGUGGUGUAGACGGCUCUCUGGACCGUAACUGACGCUGAGACACGAAAGCGUGGGUAGCAAACAGG